rfam:Lactobacillus jensenii JV-V16 chromosome, whole genome shotgun sequence.
GAGAACAAGAAGAAGCUCCCGCUUCUCGCCUAAGUUAAAGAUCAAACCUCUAGGCUAAUCGAUAAUUUCUGUUGAUUAAAGGCGGGUUGUUUUGUCCACACCCGCUUUUUUCUUGUCCU